GUUAUCCGGAAUCAUUGGGUUUAAAGGGUCCGUAGGUGGACAAAUAAGUCAGAGGUGAAAUCCUGCAGCUCAACUGUAGAACUGCCUUUGAUACUGUUUGUCUUGAGUUAUUAUGAAGUGGUUAGAAUGUGUAGUGUAGCGGUGAAAUGCAUAGAUAUUACACAGAAUACCGAUUGCGAAGGCAGAUCACUAAUAAUUAACUGACACUGAGGGACGAAAGCGUGGGUAGCGAACAGGAUUAGAUACCCUGGUAGUCCACGCCGUAAACGAUGGUUACUAGCUGUGUGGAUUUCGAUCUGCGUGGCUAAGCGAAAGUGAUAAGUAACCCACCUGGGGAGUACGUUCGCAAGAAUGAAACUCAAAGGAAUUGACGGGGGCCCGCACAAGCGGUGGAGCAUGUGGUUUAAUUCGAUGAUACGCGAGGAACCUUACCAGGGCUUAAAUGUAAGUUGCAUUAGCUAGAGAUAGCUAUUUCUUCGGACUACUUACAAGGUGCUGCAUGGUU
rnacentral:rRNA from 1 species